GCGCGGGUGGCGAAAUGGCAGACGCACUACCUUGAGGUGGUAGCGCCGUAAGGCGUGCAGGUUCGACUCCUGUCCCGCGCACAA
rnacentral:tRNA from 2 species